rnacentral:tRNA from 1 species
AUUCUUUUAGUAUAUAUCAGUAUAGUUGUCUUCCAAACAAAAGGUUUAUUUUUAAAGAGAAUU